rnacentral:ncRNA from 1 species
GGAAAAGCGACGAGAAGGAGAAGUAGAAAAUCAGGCUUUUUACAGAGAGAACCACCUUUAGGCUGGAAGUGGUUUAUAAGCGGAUUUUUGAAAUGCCCCUUCGAGUCUUCUGCUGAACAGCAAAUUGCUUUGCAAAACGUCUUAGGGCGUAAAAAGUAAGCAGAAGCGGUGUACACCGUUAUCAGAGAUGAGUUUGAGGCUUUUUUAGCCUAAACAGAGUGGAACCGCGCUUAUAAGGCGUCUCUGUC